rnacentral:lncRNA from 1 species
CCCAGCACGACCACCACCGUCGUUUCCUCCUCCACCUCCUGUGGCCAGACCUCCGCCACCACCACCUCCUCCACCUAGACCCCCUCCAGGGCUUCCUCCGGUGGCGAGACCACCCCCGCCUGGUCCACCAUACCAACCACCAGCACCUGCGCCAAGGCCACCGU